rfam:Felis catus isolate Cinnamon breed Abyssinian chromosome D1, whole genome shotgun sequence.
GGAUGUGAGGGCGAUCUGGCUGCGACAUCUGUCACCCCGUUGAUCGCCAGGGUUGAUGCGGCUGAUCUGACUGGCCAGGCGGGUGUCCCCUUCCUCCCUCACCGUUCCGUGUGCGUCCCUCCCGAAGCUGCGCACUCUAUUGAAGAGGACGGCCUUCCCCAAUAGAGGAGGACCGUUCUUCGGUCAAGGGUAUGCAGGUAGCUGUGCUCCCCUGCUAGAGCCUCCAAACAAGCUCUCAGGAACAUCUUCAAACUUUUGUGUAAAUGUUAAUUUUUGUGCUGCUUCCAUUUCUAGUAGCGGCUGCCACGCUGCAGAAU